rnacentral:rRNA from 1 species
CAGCACCUCAAGUGGUCAGGAUGAUUAUUGGGCCUAAAGCAUCCGUAGCCGGCGCUAUAAGUUUUCGGUUAAAUCUGUACGCUCAACGUACAGGCUGCCGGGAAUACUGCAGCGCUAGGGAGUGGGAGAGGUAGACGGUACUCGGUAGGAAGGGGUAAAAUCCUUUGAUCUAUUGAUGACCACCUGUGGCGAAGGCGGUCUACCAGAACACGUCCGACGGUGAGGGAUGAAAGCUGGGGGAGCAAACCGGAUUAGAUACCCGAGUAGUCC